UGGGGAAUAUUGGACAAUGGGCGCAAGCCUGAUCCAGCCAUGCCGCGUGAGUGAAGAAGGCCUUCGGGUUGUAAAGCUCUUUUGUCCGGAAAGAAAAGCUUUCGGUUAAUACCCGGAAGUCCUGACGGUACCGGAAGAAUAAGCACCGGCUAACUUCGUGCCAGCAGCCGCGGUAAUACGAAGGGUGCAAGCGUUACUCGGAAUUACUGGGCGUAAAGCGUGCGUAGGUGGUUUGUUAAGUCUGAUGUGAAAGCCCUGGGCUCAACCUGGGAAUUGCACUGGAUACUGGCAGGCUAGAGUGCGGUAGAGGAUGGCGGAAUUCCCGGUGUAGCAGUGAAAUGCGUAGAGAUCGGGAGGAACAUCCGUGGCGAAGGCGGCCAUCUGGACCAGCACUGACACUGAGGCACGAAAGCGUGGGGAGCAAACA
rnacentral:rRNA from 1 species